rnacentral:rRNA from 1 species
CACUAAGCGGGAGGUAAACUCCUUCUAAGACUAAAUAUUACCAUGAGACCGAUAGCGAACAAGUACCGUGAGGGAAAGUUGAAAAGCACUCUGAAUAGAGAGUCAAAAAGUACGUGAAACUGUCUAGGGUUAAGAAAGCAUGAAGUGUCUAAAUAUCUGAAUGGAGAAAUUCAGUAUCAUAUUGUUGUAGUUAAAUUUUUGACGAAGCAUAUGGUGUGCACUUUUCUCCUUGUAAGACACUGCGAUCCAUUAGAACCUUGUGUUAAUAAUGACCAUGAUGUGCAUUAUUAUAUCUAUCAAUGGGCCCGGCAUGGAGCUUACAUAUUUAAUGUUAGUACUGUAUAUUGUUAAGGUGAUAUACAGGAAAGCAAUGUAAACUGCUGGUGUCUCGUAUAGAUGUCUGAUGGAUUUUAGGCGACCACAAUGCGACACCUCUGUGUGUAACCAGCAAUGGUUUAUUGUAUUGUGCCGGAUCAGCAGUGUAUUUGUUUAGUAAUCUUCAUGA